rnacentral:tRNA from 1 species
GGUUCCGUGGCCGAGCGGUUCAGGUGCCCGGUUGCAACCCGGUAGACUCAGGUUCGAACCCUGACGGAACCU